AGGAAAAGAAGGAAGAGAAAGAAAGAAGAGGAGGAAAGUGCUGCAGGACGGAGUUUGUACCUUACCCAUUUACGUUAUUUGCACGGGAACCAGGCACUGAAGCCAGACAUUGAAGACUACUUACCUCAAGUGUACAGCGGUCACGGCUCUCAGUCGACACGGUUCUAAGCCUUUCUUACUGGUUAAUCGUCGCUAGAUGGUUGUGCUAUUGUCUUGCAGCUGCUGAAGAGGGAUGUUUAGCAAGUUUUUGAACGGUCUCGGAGGCAACCUCUAACAAUGGGAUUUCAGAAGUACUGAAGAGUCUGCGACAAAAGACGAGGGAAGAGAGCAAGUCAGGAGAACAAAAGGAAAGGGUUGCAGGGAAGCUGGAGGCACUUUUCAAAAGGGGAUCAGUCCUUUCGGGCCCGGCAGGGGGUGUGCAUGCUGCCCCCUCAACUGGACAUCCUCUUUUGUGCCAGC
rnacentral:lncRNA from 1 species